rnacentral:lncRNA from 1 species
UUUCUUUUUCUGUCUUCUAGAAGAGUUCUCACCGGUUGUGGCCACUAACUGGGCCUUCUCUUUAUUUCUCAAUAUUUACUUCUUUAGCAAAAUAUUCUUCUUUCUUUUACAGAAAUAUUCUUCCUAUGUGGAGUCGGAGUUCUGUCAACUAUUACUGCUGUUCUUGCCUUAACCCAGGCCAGCCACCCAGCCUGACCACCUGCUUGUCAUUUCCUUAGGCCCACUGCUCCAAGGAAAUCCUUCCUUUCUCCACUGUGUGGAAUUAGAGCAUGAGUAUUUGAUAAAUAAGGCAUAAGGAAAACAUUUAAAAGGCAGCAAAAAAUAACAGAGCUUUAUUUUUUCUGCUGUUUUUUUACUUUCCAGAUCCCCCCAGUAUAUAGUUGUAUAUUUUAGUUGUGGGUCCUUCUAGUUGUGGCAUGUGGGACACCGCCUCACUGUGGCCUGAUGAGCGGUGCCAUGUCCACGCCCAGGAUCUGAACCAGUGAAACCCUGGGCCGCCAAAGCGGAGCACAAGAACUUAACCACUCAGCCAAGGGGCUAGCCCCUAACAGAGCUUUUGUUAACUGAAUUAAUGUCACAAAUUUUAGGUAAACUUGUUUUUUUAGGGGUUAUUCCAGGUGCAGAUCAGAAACAGAAUUUUGGCAAAUAUUUAUUGAUCUCCAACUUUAUGCCAAAAACUCAGCUGAGUGCUAAGGACACAGCCAUAAACAAGACAAAUGUGGGUCUCUGCCCUCACAGAGCUCAGAAUGCAGAGGACAAGCAGGAAAGACAAAUGCCAAAGAAAUAUUUAUAAUAAAAUGUAAAGGCAAGGGUGAGGUGGAACCUUUGGAAGGUAAGUAGAUUUGGAUGAGUUCAUGAGAAUGGAGCCCCCAGGACGGGAUUAGCAUCCUAAUAAGAAGAGGAGGAGACCAGAGCUCGCUUUCUCUCCAACAUAUGAGGAUACAGCCAGAAGGCAGCUGUGUGCAAGCCAGGAAGAGAACCCUCAUCAAGCCAAACCUGCCAGCAUCUUGAUCUUGGACUCCCAGCCUCCAGAACUGUGAAAAAUAAAUGUCUGCUGUUUAAGCCACCUCGUCUGUGGUAUUUUUGGUAUAGCAGCCCAGGCUGACUAAAACAACUCCCUUCCACAGUGUAAAGUAGUGCUACUCAAAGUGUGGGCCAUGGACUAAUGCCCGUCUGCAAACUGUUUGUUAGUGGUCCAUAACGAGACUAAGCACAGAAAUUGAGAGUUUAAGUAUUCAGAAAUUUACAGAAUUUUGGUCAAGUAAUUUUAUG